rnacentral:lncRNA from 1 species
GAGAUAAAAAGAAUAAGGCGUACGAGGAGAUGUCAACCAAGCUAACGGAAAUUGAUUCAUCGGCAACAAUAGAAAUAGUGAAAAUGAGAAUUGACUCGAUUCGAGGAACAUCUUUUUUUAAAACAUGGUAUAUAUCUCUACCGGUUUCUGGUAGGAAGUGUCCCAAAACUUGGGGAGAUAUUUAUCGCUGAAAAUUUCAAAUCUUCGUAGCUUCUUCCGGUAGCGAUAAAUCUCAAAGUGGCUGUUCAUGGGUGGGUUAUACUUUGACGAGAGGCUAAACCGCCCAGUCCUUACCAACGUUGCCAAGUGUACCCAGUUUGUAUUUCGCGGGAAAUUACAAAAUAUACUUUAAAAAUCAGGUUAUGUGUUAGAACUUGCUUUUGUUAUACUGCGGUUUCUUUUUUUAUCUACCUGUAAAGAAAUUUGAAUUCAGAAAAUGCCAGUUAUAUGAGGUAUAUGUGAGAAAGUAUAUGCCACACAAUCAUCUCAUAACAGACAUAUACGAGAAGUGCACCAAAAAAAUCCAGAGCCUGUAUCUUAUUCAUCUCAGAAGGGAUGCGGUGCAAUUUUUAGUAGUCGUUGCCUUGAAGCAGAUUGUGAUUUUGCAUCCAAAACCCAUAAGAAUUUAGUGGACCAUUUGCAGAGAAUUCGUCUGCUGAAGUUUGAAACAGAGUGUCAUGUUAUGAAAAAUAUAAAUGGUUUGUUAAUUCUAAAAUCAGAAUAACACUAUUUUGAAAUUUAUUUUUAUUUAUAUCAGAUUUUGAAAUUUGGAAAUCAAAUACUGAAACAAUUAACAAUUGCUCUUAUGUUUUGAAAAGUAGGAAUGCUAGUACUAUUGGUGAAAUAGUGUACCUAUUACAAGUGCAACAGGAGUACAAGUUACUAUAUAUCCCCAGUGACAACAGUAAUCGAAGACAUAUAUUGUUGAAGAGCCAGGGAUCUUGUAAGAUAAAUAGUUUUUGCACAAGUGAAAUCAAAGUUGUUGAAGAAAACAAAAUUCUGGUAGAGUGGCAAAAAGUACAUUAUGGUCGUAAGCUUGAUAUACAACAUUAGAUUGUCAAAAACUGAAAAACAAAAUAUUGCCACAAAGAUAACAAAUGGUGUUGCACCUCAAAGGUAAUCAUAUUUUAUACUUAUGUUAUCAUCAGAGACUCAUUAAUAAACAAUUCUUAUCCCAAUGUCUGCAGAAUCCUGUGAUUUAAAUAUAAAAUAGCAUCUAAAUAUUCACUUAUCAAUUUUGAAUUAUUCACCUUCUACCAGAAUCCUGUGAAUAACCUAACCAAUUUUUUCACAGAAUCUGGGAAUUCACUCGUGAUAAUAUUUGUGAACAUUUGAAAAAAGCAGAUUUGUUAACUACUAAGGAUCUGAGGAAUAUAAAAAUAAGCUAUGGUCUUGAAUUGAAAGAUGGAAAGCGAGAUUCGAAUGAUGCCUUUUCUGUGGCUCUUUGGGUGAAGGAAUGUGAAAAUCUCAAAGGAAAUCCUAUUUUGUUUAAUAAAGAGUAAGGAAAGGACCAUAGUAUUUCAAGAAAAGAGGACUUGCUUGAUAAUAAUGAACACAUUUCAAAGACAAAUGAUGAAACAGUUUCCAUCUACAAUUACCAUCGAUAGUACCCAAGGCCUCAAUGACUAUGAUUUUGAAAUGACAACCAUUAUGGUCUUAGAUGAAUAUCACCAUGGUUUUCCAGUAGCUGAAAUGUUCACAAAUAGAAAAGAUACCAUACUGCAGAGUGUACUAUUUCAGCAAUCAAGGACACCAUGUGAGUUAUUCAUUGUAAAUUUUUCAUGUCAGAUAUGGCUGAGGUGUUUUUUAACGCAUGGUAUGGGGUGAUGGGUCCGCCUUAUCCACAACACUUAUUUUGAUCCUGACAUGUUGACAGAGCUUGGCAGAGCCAAUUUAAAUAAAAUUUCCACUAAGGACAAGCGUUCAGAAAUUUACAAAAUACUAAAAAUAUUGCAACAAAAAACUAUUGAAUCGAACUUUGUUUCGGCUUUGGAUAAUGCUUUGAGUUAUAUGUGCAACAAUGAAGUCACAAGACAUUUUGCAGAGUAUUUUUCUAAUACCUACAGUCAUAAUUUAAAAAAAUGGGCUUACUGUUUCAGAAAAGAAGCUAGCAUUAACAAAUAUGCAUUUGGAGUUCAUGCAAAAAGUAAUCAAGUAUUUUUACUUGGAAAGAAAGACAGUAAAACGCCUUGACAAGAGUUUAAACAUGGUAUUGAAAUAUGUGAGAGACAAGAGUGUAAAACGAAUUAUUACAUUGAGCAAGGGUGAACAUACCAAACAAACAAGAUUGAUAUCUCAGAAUCACGAGGAGGCAAUUGAAAAUAGGGAAGAGUAUACAAUUUUGAAAAUUGGUGAUAACUGGAAAAUUUCCAAAAAUCAAAAUAUUUCAUAUACUAUCGAAAUGCUGUGAACAAUAAUUAUGUUUGUUCUGUGAGGUGUGUAUUCAUAUGUUUUCAUGUGAGUGCAAAUUCUAUACAGAAAGAAAAAUUAUGCGCAAACAUAUCCAUAUGACGAUAAAAAAAUCUACGAAAACAGGAAAACAUUUUAAUUCGACUGAUAGAGACAUUUCAAGAUCUGAAUGCUCAUCAGCUCUGGGAAAAGAACAUCAAGAAUCAAACAUAGGACG